AAAGGAAUUGACGGGGGCCCGCACAAGCGGUGGAGCAUGUGGCUUAAUUCGAGGCAACGCGAAGAACCUUACCUGGUCUUGAAAUAUAUCGGAUCGUCUGUGAAAGCAGAUUUCCCUUCGGGGCUGAUAUACAGGUGCUGCAUGGCUGUCGUCAGCUCGUGCCGUGAGGUGUUCGGUUAAGUCCGGCAACGAGCGCAACCCGUGCCGUCAGUUGCCAGCAAGUAAUGUUGGGGACUCUGGCGGGACUGCCUGUGUUAAGCAGGAGGAAGGCGCGGAUGACGUCAAGUCAGUAUGGCCCUUACGACCAGGGCUGCACACGUGCUACAAUGGGGGGUACAAUGGGAUGCAAUGUCGCGAGGCGGAGCAAAUCCACAAAACCUCUCUUAGUUCAGAUUGUAGUCUGCAACUCGACUACAUGAAGUCGGAAUCGCUAGUAAAGGCGUAUCAGCUACGACGCCUUGAAUACGUUCCCGGGCCUUGUACACACCGCCCGU
rnacentral:rRNA from 1 species